CCCUGUGGUUUUCCUUAUUGCUCUACAUUGUCCCUGUCUUUCCCUGUCUUCAUGACUGAGGACAUUAUUUAUCCAUUUAAUUUCAGUGUCCUGUUUCAGACCAAAACUAUUUUCUGAUAAAUUUUUAAAUCUCCCUGUCAAAUCUUGUUAAAAAUGAGGCUGUACAAGGGAUAGAAGUCCUGAUCCCUCUGGGUCAACCAUGCAAAAACUAGGCUGGCCUUGGCCUUUCUCUCUGGUCCUGUGAAAGGGCAGUAAGAAACAUGAGGCAGAUCAAAGCCAUCUUUGUGCUUAGAGUCUUUUUGUGACUGUGACAAACAGCCUGUGUUUCUUCUUGUUUGGUUUUCUCAGUCAUUCACCAGCCCAGACUGAGGCCGGGAACUGCUGGACACUGUGCCACUUGGUAGAUAAAAUGCUGUAGGCUUUGGUCUCCUCUUAACACAUCAGACUCUUUCUACUCCUGAAACAUUUGUCAUGUGCCCCCAGCUAAAACUACUUUUGCAGAAGGACAAAAAGUCUCAUGUUAGAGAAAUGCGGGUGUUUUCUGAAGAAGGGAGAGGCAGAAUGUCUGGGCAGUUGAAUCUUUCUGCAUAAUUCAGUCCUGAUGCUGGUAUUUCCAUAUGUGAAGCCUGAUGGCUGUAUAUGUAUGCAAGUUCUUAAACCAUAUGAAGUCAGGCCAUU